rnacentral:rRNA from 1 species
GACGGGUGAGUAACACGUGGGUAACCUGCCCUCAUGUGGGGGAUAACAUUUGGAAACAGAUGCUAAUACCGCAUAGAUCCAAGAACCGCAUGGUUCUUGGCUGAAAGAUGGCGUAAGCUAUCGCUUUUGGAUGGACCCGCGGCGUAUUAGCUAGUUGGUGAGGUGAUGGCUCACCAAGGCGAUGAUACGUAGCCGAACUGAGAGGUUGAUCGGCCACAUUGGGACUGAGACACGGCCCAAACUCCUACGGGAGGCAGCAGUAGGGAAUCUUCCACAAUGGACGCAAGUCUGAUGGAGCAACGCCGCGUGAGUGAAGAAGGCCUUCGGGUCGUAAAACUCUGUUGUUGGAGAAGAAUGGUCGGCAGAGUAACUGUUGUCGGCGUGACGGUAUCCAACCAGAAAGCCACGGCUAACUACGUGCCAGCAGCCGCGGUAAUACGUAGGUGGCAAGCGUUAUCCGGAUUUAUUGGGCGUAAAGCGAGCGCAGGCGGUUUUUUAAGUCUGAUGUGAAAGCCCUCGGCUUAACCGAGGAAGCGCAUCGGAAACUGGGAAACUUGAGUGCAGAAGAGGACAGUGGAACUCCAUGUGUAGCGGUGAAAUGCGUAGAUAUAUGGAAGAACACCAGUGGCGAAGGCGGCUGUCUGGUCUGUAACUGACGCUGAGGCUCGAAAGCAUGGGUAGCGAACAGGAUUAGAUACCCUGGUAGUCCAUGCCGUAAACGAUGAAUGCUAGGUGUUGGAGGGUUUCCGCCCUUCAGUGCCGCAGCUAACGCA